UGUCUUCUUUGGGAGUCCAACAUUGCGGCUGGAGAAAAUAAAAAUAAGGUAGCUGGAGGUUGAAAAUUGAGAGAAGCAUAGAUACAAAUUGGCGGCAAGAGAAAGGGAGAAGAAUUGGAAUCUUUGUGGCUGGAUAUAUAUAAAUAUAUACACACAGACACGGGGGUCAGCAAGGGGGGAAUUUUGCUGCUGAAUUUGGAGAUUUUAUAUACAUAAGAAAAAGGCUUCAGUUGCUAAAUUAAAGGGAAACUGCCAAAGGCUACCUACUGCUGAAGUUAAUAGUAUAAAAGCAAAGGAACAAAGGCAGGAAAAGGAGCAGCUUCGGAAAAACAAGAAAAGAAUUGCUGCCGGCUUCUUCCAUUAUUUAUCUUCUAUCUAUAUAACAUAAACAUAAAUUGAAGCAACUGGAAGAAGUCAAAUAUUGAGGUAGCAAUUGGGCUAAAAAGACAGAAAAAUACACGUAGAAAAUGACCGGCUCAUAAGUGGAGUCAAUCAUGUCACGUCGAUCUUCGGUGAAUUCCUUCCACUCUUAUAUGUUUAAUUCCAACAUUAUGCUAGGCUAAAUUGUUUUAUGUAUUGGAUGAUGAGAAAAUUGUUUAAUUUUUAGUUUUAAUUCGAG
rnacentral:lncRNA from 1 species